rnacentral:rRNA from 1 species
GACGAACGCUGGCGGCGUGCUUAACACAUGCAAGUCGAACGGAAAGGCCCUGCUUUUGUGGGUUGCUCGAGUGGCGAACGGGUGAGUAACACGUGAGUAACCUGCCCUUGACUUUGGGAUAACUUCAGGAAACUGGGGCUAAUACCGGAUAGGAGCUCCUGCUGCAUGGUGGGGGUUGGAAAGUUUCGGCGGUUGGGGAUGUACUCGCGGCUUAUCAGCUUGUUUGUGGGGUAGUUGCUUACCAAGGCUUUGACGGGUAGCCGGCCUGAGAGGGUGACCGGCAACAUUGGGACUGAGAUACGGCCCAGACUGCUACGGGAGGCAGCAGUGGGGAAUAUUGCACAAUGGGCGGAAGCCUGAUGCAGCAACGCCGCGUGCGGGAUGACGGCCUUCGGGUUGUAAACCGCUUUCGCCUGUGACGAAGCGUGAGUGACGGUAAUGGGUAAAGAAGCAACGGCUAACUACGUG